CUGCAACUCGACUCCAUGAAGCUGGAUUCGCUAGUAAUCGCGCAUCAGCCAUGGCGCGGUGAAUACGUUCCCGGGCCUUGUACACACCGCCCGUCAAGCCAUGGGAGCCGGGGGUGCCUGAAGUACGUGACCGCGAGGAGCGUCCUAGGGCAAAACUGGUGACUGGGGCUAAGUCGUAACAAGGUAUC
rnacentral:rRNA from 1 species